CCGUAUCCCGUUGAAACACCGGUUCUCAUCCUAUUACUGAAGUAAAGCAACGUUGUAUCUGGUUAGUACCUAGAUGUGUGACCACUUGGAAAAACCAGGGACUGUAAG